UACGUAGGGUGCAAGCGUUGUCCGGAAUUAUUGGGCGUAAAGAGCUCGUAGGCGGUCUGUCGCGUCGGAUGUGAAAAUCCAGGGCUCAACCCUGGACCUGCAUUCGAUACGGGCAGACUAGAGUUCGGUAGGGGAGACUGGAAUUCUUGGUGUAGCGGUGAAAUGCGUAGAUAUCAAGAGGAACACCUGAGGUGAAGACGGGUUGCUGGGCCGACACUGACGCUGAGUGCGCGAAAGCCAGGGGAGCAAACGGG
rnacentral:rRNA from 1 species